GUCGAUCGAUGUCGGGUGGGUCAGGGCGGUCGACGAAAGAGUAGUCUCGGUCGAAGGUGGAAAGCGAGUGUCGGUCGACGAACGAGUGUUGUUGUCAAUCGAUGCGGUGCAUUUUUAUUUGUGGAUUGAGCGUUCUAAACGUGCAGGAUCUGAAAAGAGCAGUGUUUGUUCCUUGUUGCUUCUGGUACUUCUGGGCAUGCACCUGAAAAGACAAGAAAUUUUUUUUAUCAGUUUUUGCCUAUAACAAAAACCUACACUAAGCCUAACUAAAUUUGAUCUAAUGGCGAUCGAAGCUCCCCGGCAACGGUGCCAA
rnacentral:lncRNA from 1 species